GGAGCCUGUGAGAGAUAUAACAGCGAUGUAUUCAUUGUUUUUUUCUUUGCUUGAGUUUGCUAGUUAUAAAACCUGAUUAUAUUCAUAUCAAAAUAUAACUCAAAACCUGACCCAGCUGAACCUAGUCCACCAAAAAAACUAAAGUUGUUGAUGUUGCUGCUCAGAUUCUGGGAGUACCUUGCAGGUUCUUGUUUUCUCUCUUGACCGUCUCCAGAUGGUCCAGAGCUUCUUCGUAGCAGUUCUUCAGUUUGAAGAGCUCGGUGCUCAGACUGCGCGACUCUUUCUGCGACGCCUCCAGCUGCCUCUUUAGGUCUUCAGCGUUUUGGCACGCCCCCACCUUGGAGCGCUGGAGCUGACUAAUCAUAGCUUCCCGCUCCUCAAGACGACGGCUGUACUCGGCUAAAGAACAACAAAGAUAGGAAGAGAAACAACGUCACAUAGUGGCCAAAAGGUAGUACUACAACUAUCGUGUCAGUCCGUGACCCAAAAAUAUAGUCCUUUGCACAUUAAGAGAACCUUAGUAGGAUAUAAUGCUGGAUAACGGAAAAUGUGUGUUUCGUGGUACCAUUCUCUGUAACGGCUCUCGCUUUCUGAGUAGAAACGUCGGUCAGUUGUCUCUGCAGCUCCUCCGCUCGGCUCCUGCUUUCGUUCAGCUGGUCCUCAUAAACCUUGCACAUCUUCUCAGCAGCAGUCUACAAACAGACACACACACACACACUUCAUUUCAAAGUUGUUGGUGAAUCAGAUUUAAAAUUGAAGUUGUGGUGCAACAAAAUUAAAUGUUAUCUAGAUCUAGGACUGAUAUUUAAAGAGAGGUUUCAAUUUAAAAGUUAAGUUUCAACAACUUUUUAAGUUUGGUGCAACAAGAUUUUUUGUUAAAGCAUGUUUUAAUCUGGUUUGAAAAUGAAUCCUUUUCCCUAAUAAGAGUUCAAAACCAGAAACACUUAAUAUGACCAUCCUUUCCUUGUAAACAAACUGUUGUAUUGCCUCCUUACUCAACAUGACAAGUAGGAUGAUGUUAAUCAGGUGUAAUACCCCUUAAUGUUGUUGAAAUACUCCUUUAAAUCUGUGUAAUAGGACAUUGUUAUCCACCUUGUUCCUGGACAGAUGCUCCACGUUGGCAGCCAGGUCAUCGGCCUCCAGCCUGUACUCCAUCUUCUCCUUCUCCAGUUUCUGUUUGGUUCUCUGCAGAUUGUCGAUCUGCUCACUGAGCUCCAUCACCGAGUCCGAGUGCUUCUUCCUCAGAGUGGCGGCCGUCACCUCGUGGUGAAGCCCCGCCUCCUCGAGCUCCCGCCGCAUCUUCAGGAAGUCGGCCUCCCUCUUCCUGUUUGACAUCAAGCCAGAGUCAUCUCCAGGUCGUCCACGUCUUUCUUCAGGGAUAUCACCUCCUCCUCCAGCUGACGUUUCUUGGACGUCAGCGUGGCCGUCAUCUCCUCCUCAUCCUCCAGACGUUCCUGCGCUUCCUUCAGCUUCGACUCCAGAGAGAUUUUGGACUGAAUCAGCUGGUUGCAGCGGUCUUCUGCAUCUGACAGGCUGUCCUGCUCCUGGAUGAUUAAAAACAAGAGACAUUUUAGAGAUAUUGAAAACAAGAUUAAGAGAGUCUAAUCUUGUCUCACGUCAAAUUGAUUCAUUUAGGAAAUCCUUUAUUUUCAUCUAAAUAAGUAAAUGUCAAAUUUGGAGAUAAAUGGUAUGGAUUAGAUAGAAACAAACUGCAAACAAAUAGGAAGAUCUAGCAGACUUGUAAACACACCCAUGAGGAUCCCACAUAACUUCAUCUUAUAAAACCUUGUUGACAAACAACAUUUAUUUUUACUUGAAAGAUGUUAAAUUGUGACAUGACAUUCAUUUUCAAAUAUUAUAAACGUGCAACCAAUAA